rnacentral:rRNA from 1 species
UACCAGCACCCCGAGUGGUCGGGACGAUUAUUGGGCCUAAAGCAUCCGUAGCCGGUCCUACAAGUCUUCCGUUAAAUCCACCUGCUUAACAGAUGGGCUGCGGAAGAUACUAUAGGGCUAGGAGGCGGGAGAGGCAAGCGGUACUCAGUGGGUAGGGGUAAAAUCCUCUGAUCCAUUGAAGACCACCAGUGGCGAAGGCGGCUUGCCAGAACGCGCUCGACGGUGAGGGAUGAAAGCUGGGGGAGCAAACCAGG